rnacentral:rRNA from 1 species
AGAGUUUGAUCAUGGCUCAGAAUGGACGUUGGCGGCGUGGAUUAGGCAUGCAAGUCGUGCGAGAAAUUUCCUUCGGGAGAUGGACAGCGGCGAAAGGGAGAGGAAUACGUAGAAAUCUGCCCUCGGGUCGGGGAUAGCGGCGGGAAACUGCCGGUAAUACCCGAUAACGUCUUCGGACCAAAGGUGUGAUUCCGCCUGAGGAUGAGUCUACGACCUAUUAGCUAGUUGGCGGGAUAAUGGCCCACCAAGGCAACGAUGGGUAGCGGGUGUGAGAGCAUGACCCGCCUCACUGGGACUGAGACACUGCCCAGACAUCUACGGAUGGCUGCAGUCGAGAAUCUUUGUCAAUGGACGAAAGUCUGAACAAGCGACGCCGCGUGCGGGAUGAAGGCCUUCGGGUUGUAAACCGCUGUCGUAAGGGAACAAAUCUAUGGGGGUUCUCCCCUGUAGUUGAGUGAUCUUAGGAGGAAGGACGGGCUAAGUUCGUGCCAGCAGCCGCGGUAAGACGAACCGUUCGAACGUUAUUCGGUAUCACUGGGCUUAAAGAGUUCGUAGGCGGCCAUGCAGGUCAGGUGUGAAAUCCCACAGCUCAACUGUGGAACUGCGCUUGAAACCGCAUGGCUUGAGGGAGAUAGAGGUGAGCGGAACAGAUGGUGGAGCGGUGAAAUGCGUUGAUAUCAUCUGGAACACCGGUGGCGAAAGCGGCUCACUGGAUCUUUUCUGACGCUGAGGAACGAAAGCUAGGGUAGCGAACGGGAUUAGAUACCCUAGUAGUCC